GCCUCCGUAGCUCAAUUGGCAGAGCAGCUGACUUUUAAUCAGCGGGUCGCAGGUUCGAUCCCUGCCGGGGGCACUC
rnacentral:tRNA from 2 species